rnacentral:rRNA from 1 species
GACGAACGCUGGCGGCGUGCUUAACACAUGCAAGUCGAACGGUGAAGGGAUCAGCUUGCUGGUUCUGGAUGAGUGGCGAACGGGUGAGUAACACGUGAGUAACCUGCCCCCUUCUUCUGGAUAACUGCAUGAAAGUGUGGCUAAUACGGGAUAUUCUGCGCCUGCUGCAUGGUGGGUGUGGGGAAGAUAUUGUUUCGGUGGGGGAUGGGCUCGCGGCCUAUCAGCUUGUUGGUGGGGUGAUGGCCUACCAAGGCGGUGACGGGUAGCCGGCCUGAGAGGGUGGACGGUCACACUGGGACUGAGACACGGCCCAGACUCCUACGGGAGGCAGCAGUGGGGAAUAUUGCACAAUGGGCGCAAGCCUGAUGCAGCGACGCCGCGUGAGGGAUGGAGGCCUUCGGGUUGUGAACCUCUUUCGCCAGUGAAGCAGGCCUGUCCCUUGUGGGUGGGUUGACGGUAGCUGGAUAAGAAGCGCCGGCUAACUACGUG